rnacentral:SRP_RNA from 1 species
CCAUACCAGUCGGGGAGUCAGCGGUGCCCUGUACCUGCAAUCCGCUACAGCAGGGAUAGCUUCCGUUUGCGAGGGUUGGAGAUGUGCGGUCCGCACCGUAUAAACCGCGUGAUGACGGGUUGGUCUUGUGCAAUCGGUUGCCGUGAACCAUGUCAGAUGGGGAACCAAGCAGCAUUAAGCGGAGUUUACCGAUGUGCCACGAGGGUGCCUGCCCCGAGCGAGGAAUACGGAAAGCGCGUGUAUGUUCAUCUCGAACUUACGGUGUAUGG